rnacentral:rRNA from 2 species
GUCAAAGCGUUCAUUAAAGUCGAGUUGGCUUAGGGAUACGUUCGUUGGGUAGGGGAGCGUUCUGUAAGCCUGUGAAGGUGUGUCGUGAGGCAUGCUGGAGGUAUCAGAAGUGCGAAUGCUGACAUAAGUAACGAUAAAGCGGGUGAAAAGCCCGCUCGCCGGAAGACCAAGGGUUCCUGUCCAACGUUAAUCGGGGCAGGGUGAGUCGACCCCUAAGGCGAGGCCGAAAGGCGUAGUCGAUGGGAAACGGGUUAAUAUUCCCGUACUUGGUGUUACUGCGAAGGGGGGACGGAGAAGGCUAUGUUGGCCGGGCGACGGUUGUCCCGGUUUAAGCGUGUAGGUGUGUGUUCCAGGUAAAUCCGGUUCACUUUAACACUGAGGCGUGACGACGAGGCACUACGGUGCUGAAGCAACAAAUGCCCUGCUUCCAGGAAAAGCCUCUAAGCAUCAGGUAACACGAAAUCGUACCCCAAACCGACACAGGUGGUCAGGUAGAGAAUACCAAGGCGCUUGAGAGAACUCGGGUGAAGGAACUAGGCAAAAUGGUGCCGUAACUUCGGGAGAAGGCACGCUGACACGUAGGUGAAGUGAUUUACUCAUGGAGCUGAAGUCAGUCGAAGAUACCAGCUGGCUGCAACUGUUUAUUAAAAACACAGCACUGUGCAAACACGAAAGUGGACGUAUACGGUGUGACGCCUGCCCGGUGCCGGAAGGUUAAUUGAUGGGGUCAGCG